GGCUCGGUAGCGCACGGCGCGCAUCUGCAUCCAGUGACCGGCAAGCUUAAGCUGUAAACUUGCAAGCAGACCCGCCUGUUCGACUCAGGCCCGAGCCA